AGUGAACGCUGGCGGUAGGCUUAACACAUGCAAGUCGAACGGAAGCACCGUAAGUGCUUGCUCUUAUGGGUGGGGAGUGGCGGACGGGAGAGGAAUACAUCGGAAUCUACUUUUUCGUGGGGGAUAACGUAGGGAAACUUAAGACAGUAUCGCAUACGACCUACGGGUGAAAGCAGGGGAUCUUCUGACUUCGCGCGAAUGACUGAGCCGAUCUGGGAUUAGCUAGUUGGCGGGGUUAAGGACCACCCAGGCGACGAUCCGUAGCUGGUCUGAGAGGAUGAUCAGCCACACGAGAGCUGAGACACGGUCCAUACGCCUACGAGAGGCAGCAGAGGGGAAUGGUAGACAAUGGUCGCGAGCCUGAUCCAACCAUACCGCGUGUGUGGAGAAGGCCUUCGGGGUGUAAUGACCGUUUGUGGGGAAAGAAAAGCAUCAGGUUAAGACCCCGCUGUUGUGACGGUACCCAAAGAAGAAGCACCGGCUAACUUCGUG
rnacentral:rRNA from 1 species